AGCUGGUCUGAGAGGAUGACCAGCCACACUGGAACUGAGACACGGUCCAGACUCCUACGGGAGGCAGCAGUGGGGAAUAUUGGACAAUGGGGGCAACCCUGAUCCAGCAAUGCCGCGUGUGUGAAGAAGGCCUGAGGGUUGUAAAGCACUUUCAGUGGGGAGGAGGAUUGAUAGGUUAAGAGCUANUUAAUUGGACGUUACCCACAGAAGAAGCACCGGCUAACUCCGUGCCAGCAGCCGCGGUAAUACGGAGGGUGCGAGCGUUAAUCGGAAUUACUGGGCGUAAAGGGUGCGUAGGUGGUUGAWUAAGUUAUCUGUGAAAUCCCYGGGCUCAACCUGGGCAGGUCAGAUAAUACUGGUURACUCGAGUAUGGGAGAGGGUAGUGGAAUUUCC
rnacentral:rRNA from 1 species